rnacentral:rRNA from 1 species
GGAGUUUGGGCCGUGUCUCAGUCCCAAUGUGGCUGAUCAUCCUCUCAGACCAGCUACCGAUCAUCGGCUUGGUAUGCCUUUACCACACCAACUACCUAAUCAGAUAUAGGCCCCUCUAAAAGCGAUAAAUCUUUAACCCUAAGGCAUCAUCCGGUAUUAGCACCAGUUUCCCGGCGUUAUCCCCGACUCUAAGAUAGGUUCCUAUACUUUACUCACCCGUGCGCCACUCGUCAUCUAAGAAGCAAGCUCCUUAAUGUUACCGUUCGACUUGCAUGUUUUAAGCCUGCCGCCAGCGUUCGUUCUUGAGCCAUGAUCAAACUACU